AAGAUUAUAGUCAAUUAUAUGAUAUAUGAGUUGCAUUCAUAAGUAGUUAUUUUAAACUAAUCUUA
rnacentral:tRNA from 1 species